GGGGUGGUAGCUCAAUUGGGAGAGCGCCUCGGUCGCAUCGAGGAGGUUGAGAGUUCGAUCCUCUUCCACUCCA
rnacentral:tRNA from 1 species